rnacentral:ncRNA from 12 species
UGAUAUGUUUGAUAUAUUAGGUU